ACCUUGACGCCCACAACCAGUCAGAAGAGAGGGGUCACGUGAUAGAGUUUGCCACUCUUCUACUAUGAGGCUUUCUAGCUUCACGAUAGUAUUUCAUAGAUAUGUCGCUAAAGUUUGGAGAUUCGGCAAAAAGUCGAGUGUACUUCUACAAGUCCAUACCUGAAGAUGUUCUUCAUAAAUUUUACAAACACCUACAAUUAACAAAUAGAUCAUAUUGAGAUGGGAACAUAUAUUAAUAUAGGUCUGUGACCAGGCUGUACAAGUAGUAUUGUAUGAGACUAAAAUAAAAUAACAAUAAAUAGCAUAAAAUUAGUAGAUAUAGUAGAUCAUAAAUUUUAUAUGCAUGCAUAUAUAUAUAGUUAUAAUCUGAAAAACCUCAAAUAAUAUAUCAAGCAUAAUGUAAUUUCCUUGAUUUUUUGUUCAGAUUAUAAAUAAUAUUAUCCAUACAAAUAUUCUUAUUCAGUUCCUUAUAGCUGCAUAUAUUAUGUUUUGUAACAAUUUUUUUCUUUUUUCCUCUUUUCUACUAAAUAUUAAAUAAAUAUAUACAAUUUUAUUUUUAUACGCUUGCUAAUAUAUGACAUUUAAUAAAAAUUCUUGUUGAAAAUUAUAACCAUUUGUAAUUGUUUGAAAGAAUGUUUAGUAAAACCUAAUUAAAUUAAUGUUGCACUAACUUCUGUUGAAUAUAGCUAGUAGGAAAGUAAGUGUCAAGUAAGAAGCAUAAUGAUGUAGCUAUAAAGACCAGACUUCUGAAAUUAAACAAAUGAAAAAAAUGAUGAAACGAAUUUACUACAAAAAAACAAAUUGUGUGAACUUCUAUUUAUAAUUUUCUUUUUUUCUACACUUGUGACAUCUAAUUAAUAAAAUAUGUGCGAGAAUUUCAUUAAUUUUCAUGCGAGAAUAGAAAUAUCUCGAGUUGUAGGUUAUGGUGUAAUUUGUAUAUCAUCAUUAUCGCGAUAUAUUUCACAUGUACGGAUGAAAAAUAAAGUUGUAAAGGAUCAUACACACAGA